GUGGAGGUUCUAUUCGAAGGUUGGAAAGUAAGAUGGUCUGAUUUCAGGACUAACUUUGUGGAACCGAUAAUGUCUUGUUCACCUAGGGUACCUGAAGGAAUACUGACACUACUGGCAAUAAAAGAUUUCGAUGGAUCGAAAUAUGUGGAAAGACAUACUGAGGAAUCUGUAGAGGAGUUCACCAAACUGAUUCUCUACGAGAUGGUGUCUUUAGAAGGAAACUAUGGAAAACAACCAGAGGGUUUUAUUCAGACAAUUAUCUAAAAAAAUGAUAUCUACAUUUGUAGUUCGUUGUAUUAUCAUGCUGACAUUAUAUUAAACUUUGUUGUAUUAUAUUUAUUAUGGCACGUAUGAAUCUCCAAUA